rnacentral:rRNA from 1 species
CCUACGGGAGGCAGCAGUGAGGAAUUUUCCGCAAUGGGCGAAAGCCUGACGGAGCAAUACCGCGUGAGGGAUGAAGGAUUUUGGUCUGUAAACCUCUUUUCUCAAGAAAGAAGUUCUGACGGUACUUGAGGAAUAAGCAUCGGCUAACUCCGUGCCAGCAGCCGCGGUAAUACGGGGGAUGCAAGCGUUAUCCGGAAUGAUUGGGCGUAAAGCGCCUGUAGGUUGUUUAUUAAGUCCGUUGUUAAAGCCUAGGGCUCAACCCUAGAAAAGCAAUGGAAACUAGUAGACUAGAGUAUGGCAGGGGUAGAGGGAAUUUCUAGUGUAGCGGUGAAAUGCGUAGAUAUUAGAAAGAACACCGGUGGCGAAAGCGCUCUACUGGACCAUUACUGACACUCAGAGGCGAAAGCUAGGGUAGCAAAAGGGAUUAGAUACCCCUGUAGUCCUAGCCGUAAACGAUGGAUACUAGAUGUUGUGCAUUAUGUACAGUAUCGUAGCUAACGCGUUAAGUAUCCCGCCUGGGGAGUACGCUCGCAAGGGUGAAACUCAAAGGAAUUGACGGCUGNGAAGUGCGAGAGACGACGAGGAGAG